rnacentral:Y_RNA from 1 species
AGCUGGUCUGAUGGUAGUGGGUUAUCAGAACUUAUUAACAUUAGCGUCACUAAAGUUGGUAUUCAACCCCCCACUGCUAAAUUUGACUGGCUAAAA